CGGAAGCGCUCUCUCUCAUCAGCCUCAUCAUCAACAUCAUUCUCAUCACCAUCGUUUCUUCUGCUUCCCCUGCUGUGAUGCUAGCUGCUCUCCCACAGGCUUUAUUCAUGAUGUCACUAAUGGUAUCGGUGGGUGGUCAAGACGAAGAGUCUACAGUUUCCGAGAGACCUUACACGGUCUUACAGAAACAAAAUUUGGUCGCGCUGGGGAGCGUCGUCGGUGUCCUGCUGUUGCUGAUGAUCAUCAUGGCCGUGUGCGUCUACAAGCCUCUACCCAGGCGCUGAGCGUGUGAGCCUCACUCCUCAGUCCCACGGACAGAGACUCGACAUCAAACACCAUCUAAAAGGGCCACUCAGCGGUGAUCAAAUCCACCCCCCCAGAGAAAGGUGGGCCUUCGAGUGGCUCUACCUCUUGUCCAUUUAUUUAUUACAGGCAACUGGAUACCACCUCAUGCAAUAUACAGUUUCCAAAUUAUGCUUGUAGAAAUUCAGUGUUUGAGUUAUAUCUGUUAUUUAUUUUAAGUGAAGAAUAUAUGUAAAUAAAUGUUUUGGGUGUUUUCAACACUACUUGAGUGAAGUGUUGCUCAUUAAACCUACGCAAUUGAAUGAGAUCCAUCCAUACUGCAACCACUCUGCGUGACAGGACCAAAAAAAACGACGUUGCCGUCGUGGCUAGUAUGCCCAUAUUUGGAAGUGCUGACCUAGGAGCUAACCACGGAGAUUGGAUUGCACGUCAAACUGAUUAUUUUGUCACAGGUCAUGUUUAUCGUGUACUGUCAAGUCACAAUAAUUGUUUAAUCAUAUACGUCUUGUUUUAACUUGAACCCCCCCCCUUGAUAAUGCAAUCAAAACUAUCAAUUACUUGCCUAUUCAAGGCAUUAUUUUUGAUACAGUGGAAUAAUGUGAAAGUGUAGGUUUGUUAAAUAUGUCUGUAUUCUCAGAAAGUGCAUGAAGUCACUGUCAGAGUACUUAUGGAAAUAAAGUGCUUUUAUUUUAA